CACUUACAGGUAGCAUUUAAAGCUUGGGUCGUUUCAAAGUGUAAAUAUAAACCGUCGGUUUAAAACAAAGACUAACUCCUAUGACGUUUUUCUAUAGUUGAACAACGGGAUUUCAACGAAAUAUCGGUAAAAAAUGGAUUCUUUUCAGCUUGAGGUGGAAUCUCGUGCCAAUUUAAAGACAACUCGGACCACUUUUAAAGACAGCUCGGACCAGUUUGAAGACAACUCGAACCAGUUAGAAGUACUUUUUUUAAUGAGUUGUUACUAUAAACUGUUUUAUGACGGCCUAACGAGAUCAAUUAGAAAUAUAAAACAACAAAUUUUAUUCAAUGUAAUGAAAAUAUCAACCAGAUAUAUAUUCGUCUUUACAUAUACGGGCCCCUGUUGUAAUAAGUGAUCCUAGACAUCUUUCAAGUUUGGUUGAAAUGCCUUUUACCGUCAGGCGCCAAAUGGUAAUUUUCGACUAUCGUAAGCGUCAACUUGUUUUAAUUCAUAUUGUGGUUUGUCAAAUUAUCCGUAUUUGUCAGAGGUCUCAAUUAUUUAAACGUUACCAUUAUAAUUGGAAAACAUAUACCAUGAUCCGUCAAAAUCAGUUGAUUUUUUUUUAUCGUUAUGUAGAAUUGAACACUAU
rnacentral:lncRNA from 1 species